GGACAGGGAGAGAGACAUGGAGCUGCUUUCUCCGGCAGCGGCUGCGAUCGGCUUCAGAGAGCGGCGCUUGGAGCCGGUACCCAGGGAGUUCCGCACUCAAUAGACUUGACAACUGCUGGUUGGGAAGAUGGUUGGUCAGCCAGAGAGAUAACGGUCAGGAGCCUUCAAUAAAUCCUGCUGCCAGCUUCUGGCAACAAAUGGCCACAAACCGAUCAAAGGUGAAAGUGACGGUGAACCAGACAGAGCAGUCAGUGGCUGCAUAAAGCAGGACGGCGUGGAUAUUACACACGGGGACGGAGUACACCAGGAAAUAAAACUGUUCCUGAUAAACAAUGGGAAUGUGUCUCAGGAUCAGGUCGAGGAUAAUGACCAGGAGAUCCGCCGCUGCCAUGGCCCCCAGGUAUCUGUGUUAGCUGUUUGGAUACAGAAUUGGCUGGCCAGCAGAAGACAGCGAGUGGUAGUGGAAG